GAUGAAGAACGCAGCGAAAUGCGAUACUUGGUGUGAAUUGCAGAAUCCCGUGAACCAUCGAGUCUUUGAACGCAAGUUGCGCCCGAAGCCAUUAGGCCGAGGGCACGCCUGCCUGGGCGUCACACGUCGUUGCCCCCCCAUCUACUCCUUCGGGAUUGCGGGGGGCGGAUGAUGGCCUCCCGUGCGCCUCGUCGCGCGGUUGGCAUAAAUGCCAAGUCCUCGGCGACGCACGCCACGACAAUCGGUGGUUGCGAAACCUCGGUUGCCCGUCGUGUGCGGUCGUCGCGCAUCGAGGGCUCGAAAAAAUUGCCGGGCUCCGGCUCGGCUUUCAACGCGACCCCAGGUCAGGCGGGGUUACCCGCUGAAUUUAAGCAUAUCAAUAACGGAGGA
rnacentral:misc_RNA from 1 species